UUUCCGUAGGUGAACCUGCGGAAGGAUCAUUAAUGAGUGGUCAUGGGGUUCGAUGCUGGCAGCCAAUUUUUGGAUGCAUGUGCUUGCCCUAACAAUCAUCUUCCAAACACCUGUGCACAUUUUUGAGGGAGUCCUGAGUUGGUUGCCGCUCUUGGGUGAUUUUCUCACAUUCCCUUAAAUCAUUAUACGCUAUUAACAAUGUUGAACGUGCUCUGUGCCGCAAGGCUAUUAAUAGAAUACAACUUUUAACAACGGAUCUCUUGGCUCUC
rnacentral:misc_RNA from 1 species